CCCGACCCCGCGGCGUGCGCACCUCUGGACUGGAGGGGGCACCGCGCCUUAUUUGUGCGAGAAACCCAUCAUGGCAGUGCCUUGUACGACCUAGCUUGCCUUUCAAAACAGAAUUCGUCAUACGAUUCUACAGGGGAGAGAUUGUUUGUGACAGUGGUUUUCAAGUAAAAUGCAUGCUGCUGGUUUGUAAGAAGUUGACAUCUACCUAAGCGUCCCCUCAUCAGAGGGCAGUGGGGCUGCCAUGGAUCCUAGCCAUGCUCGCAGGAAUGGGGCUGCUUUUGUUUCCAGGCCAGCCUGGAUGCUGCUUGCUGUGAAUUCCUGAAGGAGAGAGAACCAGCCUCGAUGAGAUGAGCGUCCUGGAGUGACGGUGAAGGGCUGCAGGGGGAAGUGCGAUGGGGCAAUUCCCUUCUCUGACAUACGCUUUUUUUUUCUUUUGUCUUCAGUCACCUUCUGCCAUUUCUCUGCUUUCCAUGGGUUUCUUUGUCUGUAAAAUGAAGGAACCGGAUGGAUGA